rnacentral:rRNA from 1 species
GAUGAACGCUGGCGGCGUGCCUAAUACAUGCAAGUCGAGCGAACAGACGAGGAGCUUGCUCCUCUGACGUUAGCGGCGGACGGGUGAGUAACACGUGUAUCACCUACCUAUAAGACUGGGAUCACUUCGGGAAACCGGAGCUAAUACCGGAUAAUAUAUUGAACCGCAUGGUUCAAUAGUGAAAGACGGUUUUGCUGUCACUUCUAGCUGGAUCCGCGCCGCAUUAGCUAGUUGGUAAGGUAACGGCUUACCAAGGCAACGAUGCGUAGCCGACCUCAGAGGGUGAUCGGCCACCCUGGAGGUGAGACACGGUCCAGGCGCCUACGGGAGGCAGCAGUAGGGAAUCUGCCGCAAUGGGCGAAAGCCUGGCGGAGUAACGCCGCGUGAGUGAUGAAGGUCUUCGGAGCGUAAAACUCUGUUAUUAGGGAAGAACAAAUGUGUAAGUAACUAUGCACGUCUUGACGGUACCUAAUCAGAAAGCCACGGCUAACUACGUG